rnacentral:rRNA from 1 species
GGAGCAGCUGGAGCUGUAUGUCCGGAUAAAAAUGGGAAAUACUUAGGUGCGUCGGCGGUGGUGUACGACGGCCUCACUGACCCGGCAAGCUUGGAGGCUCAAGCAUGCAGCGAGGCACUAGCCCUCGCACAGGAUCUGAACCUACAGGAUCUUGUGAUUGCCUCAGACUGUGUCGAAGUAAUAUCUAACAUCGGCAACGCAGGGUCGCCAUCUUAUGCUCCCAUUCUGAGGGAAAUUCAAACUAGUAGGGCAAACUUUACCUCUGUUUCUUUCCGUUUUGAAAGUAGAGUUAAUAAUUUUGAGGCCCAUUCGCUUGCUAAGGGAGUUGCGUCUCUCGCGGUGGGUCGCCAUGUGUGGCUAGGGGUUCUGCCAGAUAUUGCUUGUAUUCCGGCUGUUUUGAACUUUGAAUAA